GGUGAACUUGUGAGCUGUUCCUCGCUACUCUUUGCAAGAGUUUAUCUGCCUAUAUGUCAGAAGGGAGAAGACUGCUGUGACUCAGGUUAUGAUUCCCUGUAAAGGGAGGUGGACAGUCACCUAAAAUGUAUCUUGAUGUCAAGACUGAUGUUGCCACAUGCAGACCAAGAGGAUAUGAAAAGCUUUCACUGUUGAAGUUCCUGAGGAAGGCAGAAAUGAACUACUUUUCCAAGGAAGCAGAGUUUCUCUCAAGCCAGCUAAGAGUGGACUUCUGCUUUAUUCCAGGCGUGCCUUAGUCCAGACUGAAUCGUCUGGACCCAGUUCCAGUGUGUCUCACAGUCUAGUGUGGAUCUCGGGCUUCUAGAACCAGCUUUGGGCAUUGGCAGGCAGUCCUGCACUGCUUUCCCAUGGCGUUCCAGGUUGCAACCUCCCAAGGAGUGAAAUGGAAACCGUCAGACAACUUCAUG
ensembl:lncRNA